UACGGAGGGAGCUAGCGUUGUUCGGAAUUACUGGGCGUAAAGCGCGCGUAGGCGGCUUUGUAAGUUAGAGGUGAAAGCCCGGGGCUCAACCCCGGAAUUGCCUUUAAGACUGCAUCGCUUGAAUCCGGGAGAGGUGAGUGGAAUUCCGAGUGUAGAGGUGAAAUUCGUAGAUAUCGGGAGGAACACCGGUGGCGAAGGCGGCGAUCUGGGGUCGAUACUGACGCUGAGGUGCGAAAGCGUGGGGAGCGAACAGG
rnacentral:rRNA from 1 species